ensembl:lncRNA
AAAAAAUAUGCUUCAGCUUGGAAAUGAAUUUCAUUUAUUAAUGUCAAUUGUUUCUCUACUUUAUUUAUGGUAGUCACUAAUAAAUUACCCACCCGGAAUAGUCAACAUGGCUCUUGCUUUGAAUCACAAAGUUAUUAGGCUUUGGUUUCUUCAAGACAUCUAUUUAGUUUGGAUGAGGAGCUCAAGAUUUUUGUAUGGCAGUUAAAGGAAAAUAGAGUAAAUUCAAGCAGUCCCUAUUAUUGCUAUUUUCUUUUUAUGAGACUACUUCAGACAUUGACAAUAAUGUUUAAGAAAUUAUAUUUAUUAAAGAGUGAAUGCAAAUAUUUCUUACUUUUUUAAUAAUCUAUUUUAUAUUGUAUCUUUUUUUAAGAAUGCAGGAAGCAAAAAAUUAUAAAUGUUAAUUUAUUCAUUCAGGACCUAUCUGGAUUUUAUAGAUUAUGGAAACUAAUGUACAGGAUAUUUUAAAGCUUUCUAAUGCCCUAAGAUCAAUAAUAAAUCAGACAAAAUGAAGAUUUCAGGUUCUUUACCAUCUAGUUAAUAUAAAACUAAGGAAGAAUGGUCAUCAUGAAGAAAUCAAGUAAUACCAAAUGCUAAUGAGGGUAUGGAGGAAAAGGAACCCUUGUACAUUGUUGGUGAGCAUUCACAAGAUGGAGCCCAUCUGCUUCCCUGAAGAGGACCCUCACCAGGAACAUGAUCAGAAUCAGCAACUUGUCUUAAAUUUAC